GCCAGGCACAGUGGUGUGUUCCUGUAGUCCCAGCUACUCUGGAGGCUGAGGCGGGAGGAUCACUUGAGCCCAGGAGUUUGAGGCUGCAGUGAGCUAUGAUAGCACCACGGCACUCCAGCCUGGGCCACAGGGUGAGACCCUGGCUCUA
rfam:Homo sapiens chromosome 7, GRCh38 reference primary assembly.